ensembl:lincRNA
GUGGGGAGCUGUGGCCAUAGAGUGGGAAAGGAGACCACUUUCAAAAUCAUAGCCGUCAGUCUUCUCUCCCUUUCUGAUUUGCUUCUCCAUCACUGAUACCAGUGGAAGCCGGAGGAGGAAGAGGCCAAAAUGACGCACUCCAUGGAAGUCUGUCUGCAAGGCAAAGGACAGACAGAACUGGGUUGAAAACUUAUUUAGGUAAGAAGAGACUAAUCCGUCUAAUAUGUCACAAAUAUGCCAUACAUCUGUUGGAAACUUUCCUAGAAAUGCAAUCUCAGUAUCAAUAGGAAGAAAAGAGCUACCUAAGCAUCCCCUUGAUAUCUGUUCUCCUGCUCUGCCAGGGUAUGCAGUGCUCCCUCACUGAAAAAACUGCUCAGAAUUAAGACUACAUUUCCCAGCCUCCCUUUGGCCAAAGUGAUGUCAGAGGAAGUGUCAGGUGACGGCUUCUAAGGAGCUUCUCUGAGGUCGGCUGACUUGGGCUAUUUACCCCUCAUGGUUUACUCCUUCCUGAGGUUCACUGGCUGCCCAGGACCACACCAUUUGCAUGGUAUGACUUCAGCAAGUCCCAUGGGCUUUACCCUUCUAUCGAUGUGGACCCAAAUGCCCUCAGCAUCACCCUUCUUCCGGCUGCCCUCGUGUUUCACACUGGCUGCUGCAGUGGUGGCGGUCUUCCUGCUUUGGCAUUGCACUGCCUCCUGGUUGCCUGCCUCACUCCCUGUUUAUAACGUCUCAGAUUUGACGCAUCAAGCCUUUACUGAUUGUAUGUUUCUCCUCGAUCACACCAUUUAGUCACCCUCUUUGCAUUUGUCUGCUGUGCCCACCCAGGUAAGCAAGCAUUUCCCCUGAUGAUUAUCGUAAUGA